rnacentral:rRNA from 1 species
ACCAGACUCCUACGGGAGGCAGCAGUGGGGGAUAUUGCACAAUGGGGGGAACCCUGAUGCAGCGACGCCGCGUGGGUGAAGAAGCGCCUCGGCGCGUAAAGCCCUGUCAGCAGGGAAGAAAAUGACGGUACCUGAAGAAGAAGCCCCGGCUAACUACGUGCCAGCAGCCGCGGUAAUACGUAGGGGGCAAGCGUUUUCCGGAUUUACUGGGUGUAAAGGGGGCGCAGACGGCGAUGCAAGCCAGGAGUGAAAGCCCGGGGCCCAACCCCGGGACUGCUCUUGGAACUGCGGCGCUGGAGUACGGGAGGGGCAGGCGGAAUUCCUGGUGUAGCGGUGAAAUGCGUAGAUAUCAGGAGGAACACCGGCGGCGAAGGCGGCCUGCUGGACCGUGACUGACGUUGAGGCUCGAGAGCGUGGGGAGCAAACAGGAUUAGAUACCCCUGUAACA